AUACUUACUGGCAGGGGAGAUACCAUGAUCAUGAAGGUGGUUUUCCCAGCAUGAGGCUCAUCCAUUGCACUCCAGAUGUGCUGACCCCUGCAAUUUCCCCAAAUGUGGGAAAUUCAACUGCAUAAUUUGUGGUAGUGGGGGACUGUGUUUGCGCUUUCCCCUG
ensembl:snRNA U1 U1 spliceosomal RNA